rnacentral:misc_RNA from 1 species
ACCGACGACGGUGACUACAACGUGAAACUGCGCAACCUCACGCGUUUCCUCGAAGACGGCGACAAGACGAAAAUCACGUUGCGUUUCCGUGGGCGUGAAAUGGCCCACCAGGAAAUCGGCAUGCGCAUGCUGGAACGCCUGAAGGCGGAUCUCGACGAACACGCGCAAGUCGAACAGAUGCCGAAGAUGGAAGGCCGCCAGAUGAUCAUGGUGCUGGCGCCAAAGAAAAAGAAGUAAUCGAUGGAUCGCGCCGCUUUGGCGCGGCAUCGAAGGAAGUUUCAGGGUGACGCCGGGCAAUCGGCGACGCUCAUGAAAAUGCGGCGGUUGUCACAACCGCU